rnacentral:rRNA from 1 species
AACGAACGCUGGCGGCGUGCCUAACACAUGCAAGUCGAGCGCGAAAAGGGCAACCUGAGUAGAGCGGCGCACGGGUGCGUAACACGUGGGUAAUCUGCCUUAGAGUCGAGGAUAACCUUCCGAAAGGUUGGCUAAUACUCGGUAAGCUUACGGUGUCUUCGGACGCUGUGUGAAAAGUAGGCCUCUGUUUACAAGCUUACGCUCUGAGAUGAGCCCGCGGCCCAUCAGCUAGUUGGCGGUGUAACGGACCACCAAGGCAACGACGGGUAGCUGGUCUGAGUGGACGAUCAGCCACACUGGAACUGCGACACGGUCCAGACUCCUACGGGAGGCAGCAGUGGGGAAUUUUCCACAAUGGGCGAAAGCCUGAUGGAGCAACGCCGCGUGUGUGAUGAAGGUUUUCGGAUCGUAAAGCACUUUCGACUGGGACGAAAAACCUUUGGCUAACAUCCAGGGGCCUGACGGUACCAGGAGAAGAAGCACCGGCUAACUCUGUGCCAGCCGCCGCCGUAAGAC